rnacentral:rRNA from 1 species
GACGAACGCUGGCGGCGUGCCUAAUACAUGCAAGUAGAACGCUGAAGAGAGGAGCUUGCUCUUCUUGGAUGAGUUGCGAACGGGUGAGUAACGCGUAGGUAACCUGCCUUGUAGCGGGGGAUAACUAUUGGAAACGAUAGCUAAUACCGCAUAACAAUGGAUGACACAUGUCAUUUAUUUGAAAGGGGCAAUUGCUCCACUACAAGAUGGACCUGCGUUGUAUUAGCUAGUAGGUGAGGUAAUGGCUCACCUAGGCGACGAUACAUAGCCGACCUGAGAGGGUGAUCGGCCACACUGGGACUGAGACACGGCCCAGACUCCUACGGGAGGCAGCAGUAGGGAAUCUUCGGCAAUGGGGGCAACCCUGACCGAGCAACGCCGCGUGAGUGAAGAAGGUUUUCGGAUCGGAAAGCUCUGUUGUAAGUCAAGAACGGGUGUGAGAGUGGAAAGUUCACACUGUGACGGUAGCUUGCCAGAAAGGGACGGCUAACUACGUG